rnacentral:rRNA from 1 species
UGCUCGAGUGGCGAACGGGCGAGUAACACGUGAGUAACAUGCCCUUGACUUUGGGAUAACUUCAGGAAACUGGGGCUAAUACCGGAUAGGAGCUCCUGCUGCAUGGUGGGGUUGGAAAGUUUCGGCGGUUGGGGAUGGACUCGCGGCUUAUCAGCUUGUUGGUGGGGUAGUGGCUUACCAAGGCUUUGACGGGUAGCCGGCCUGAGAGGGUGACCGGCCACAUUGGGACUGAGAUACGGCCCAG